GAGUUGAGAUCAUUGAGAUGGUGUCAAGAAAGAGAGAGAAGCAAAGAAGGAAAAAAUAAUGGAGUGGAAAAAAGUUGCUUUAGUUGCAAUGAUGGGGAUGUUGCUUAUGGCUACUUUUACAGAGUCAGUCGGUUUGGGCGUGGAUGAGGAGAUCAUUCAAUUAGUUUCGGACGGGCUGAAUGAGUACUCACAAAAUAUUGGAAAGGAAACUGUAGGCUGCCCUCGAAUCCUUAUGCCGUGUAAAUCCGACCACGACUGCUUAAGUGGCUGCACUUGCAAACGAAACGGCUAUUGUGGUUGACUCCUAGCCGUGAUGUUUCGUUCGGAUCUUCUACGGUGUCUUUGUUUGUGUGUGUUUUCUAUUUUAUGAAAAUAAAUGCAUGGUUGUUGUGUGUCUUUCUCAUCACUCUUUUCUCUCGUGUGUAUGAGUUAGUGUGAUCAUAUCAGUGGCAUGCCUGAUAUCCCAUCAAGCUGUUUUGUUGUAAUAUUUAUUAUGCUCUCUAUCUCACUAUGGUCUUUGAGGAUAUCUUCCCUAUCUCCUUCCAUCAACUUUAAGUUUCAUUUUCUUUAACCAUUCUUCCAUGAAUUUAAAGUUUUAUUUUUUUUAACCAUUAAAUACUCAAAGAUUAACUGUUAAUCACUCAAAAUUCAUUUUUUUUAAACUAUAGUUUUGAGUGUUUAUCAUAUACUACAUCAUUUUAUAUAACAAACACCUUCACGUGGAUGUGGGCAAAUCAUAGUGAAGCUUGAGAGGUUUCUUUGAAGAGAGUAAAGUAGAGAGACAGACGGACCAAAUUUUCUUCUUUUCGUUUCUGUAAAAUCAAAAGAUAAAAAGUAACAGAAGUUUUACUUACCACGUGUGUAAUUUCAAAGCAGAAAACGUGGACUCACCUCCUCCAUGCAUUACAACCCUACCUCAACUUCAUGGAUCAGCUUUUUCUCCAUUCUUGGACCUGCAAAUCAGUAAAAAUAAGCUCAGGGUCACGGGAGUCGUGUACGACUUCACCCACCACAUGUUGUCGACCCCUCUACGACUUUCCCACCAUAUUUUUCACAUUAUUUAAAACAAUCCAACUUAUAUUAUAUUUGAAAUCCAAUCCUAAGACACCCUACAUAUGAAAGAGGUUUUUGUUGACAACCUGAUUUGUUUUAUAUAUGUUCGACUUGUUAAUGACUCAAUUUCCUUUUGUACUUAGGAAUAUCUGUCUUUUAAAAUUUUAAAUCUAAGAGAAAAGAAAAGAAAACAAGCUAAAAUUUAUAUAUAUUUUAUUUAGUUAUAGUAGAAGGAUGAAAUAACAGAGGAGGGAUGUGGAAUAAUGGAAAGGGGAAGCUCAUGGGUUGGGAAGGAAUAUAUGAAAAAAAAAUACUCUGCCCUCCAAUCUUCAAAAGCAUGCUUUAAGAAGGGAAAUACAAAGCAUAGGGAGGAAGAUAAUAUAUAGAAAGAGAGGAAGGAGAAAAGAAAAUAGUAAGAAAAUGAAGAGGAUGGAUAAGAACAUUGGUUUGGCCGUGGCCACGAUGAUGGUGAUGAUGCUUCUGAUUGCUACUGUCGUGGAAUCAGCCUCUCCUACCGAGAAGAUCACGAUGAUCGAACUCGUCACCAACCACCAUGCUGCCAGUUCUUUUCCACGCAAAAUGAUGAGAAAUGGGAAAGGAAACGGAGUUUGUCCCAUAAUAGGUCGGCCUUGCAAUCCUGAGUACGGCGGCUGUGGCCCUUUCUCCGACACUUGUGCUUGCUACACUGCUGGACAUUGUGGAGAUUUCGUUGGUUGAAGCUGCACUUUUGUGUUGUAUCUUUUUCCUUAGUCUUUCCUGUGUUGCGAUGUUUUUCCAAAAUAAAUAUGAUGAUCUCUCUCUCUUGUGAGAUCAAUGAUAAGUUUAUGUAACAAAAUCUUAUGUUCUUAGAUGCACAAAAUGGGAGGAGGAUUUUCUUUUCUUUUCA